rnacentral:rRNA from 1 species
GAUGAACGCUGGCGGCGUGCCUAACACAUGCAAGUCGAGCGAAGCACUUACUUUAGAUUUCUUCGGAAUGACGAAGUUUGUGACUGAGCGGCGGACGGGUGAGUAACGCGUGGGCAACCUGCCCUGUACAGGGGGAUAACAGUUAGAAAUGACUGCUAAUACCGCAUAAGCCCACAGCUUCGCAUGAAGCAGUGGGAAAAACUCCGGUGGUACAGGAUGGGCCCGCGUCUGAUUAGCUAGUUGGUAAGGUAACGGCUUACCAAGGCGACGAUCAGUAGCCGACCUGAGAGGGUGACCGGCCACAUUGGGACUGAGACACGGCCCAAACUCCUACGGGAGGCAGCAGUGGGGAAUAUUGCACAAUGGGGGAAACCCUGAUGCGGCGACGCCGCGUGAGCGAUGAAGUAUUUCGGUAUGUAAAGCUCUAUCAGCAGGGAAGAAAGUGACGGUACCUGACUAAGAAGCCCCGGCUAACUACGUG